AAACCAACAGGGAUUGCCUCAGUAACGGCGAGUGAAGCGGCAAAAGCUCAAAUUUGAAAUCUAACACUUUCAGUGUUCGAGUUGUAAUUUGAAGAAAGUUUCUCUGAGUAGUCCUUUAUCUAUGUUCCUUGGAACAGGACGUCAUAGAGGGUGAGAAUCCCGUAUGAUUUUGGAUACUAUUCUUUGUGAGAUUCUUUCGAAGAGUCGAGUUGUUUGGGAAUGCAGCUCUAAGUGGGUGGUAAAUUCCAUCUAAAGCUAAAUAUUGGCGAGAGACCGAUAGCGAACAAGUACAGUGAUGGAAAGAUGAAAAGAACUCUGAAGAGAGAGUGAAAAAGUACGUGAAAUUGCUGAAAGGGAAGGGCUUUAGGUCAGACUUGGUGUUUAAUGAUUAUCUUCUCUUUUUGAGUUGUGCACUCGUUUUUCACUCGGCCAAUAUCAGUUUUUGUGGUAGAGCACCUAUUGGAAUGUAGCUUUUCUUCGGAUGAGUGUUAUAGCCUUUAGACGAUCUAUUUACGGAGACUGAGGACUGCGCGUAUGCUAGAUAUGC
rnacentral:rRNA from 1 species